rnacentral:rRNA from 1 species
GACGAACCGUGCAAACGUUGUUCGGAAUCACUGGGCUUAAAGGGCGCGUAGGCGGUCAGCACAAGUCAGUUGUGAAAUCUCCGGGCUUAACUCGGAAAGGUCAACUGAUACUGUGCGACUAGAGUGCAGAAGGGGCAACUGGAAUUCUCGGUGUAGCGGUGAAAUGCGUAGAUAUCGAGAGGAACACCUGCGGCGAAGGCGGGUUGCUGGGCUGACACUGACGCUGAUGCGCGAAAGCCAGGGGAGCGAACGGG